GGGGGCGUGUUUGUGUGUGUGUUUUCUCACAAAGGGUCAGAACGGUGACAAGUGGAAGAGUGUGAGCAGGUAGAGACGGGAGCGAGAGCCAGGGUCAAGCACGGGAUUGCAUUCCAGUCCUCUUAGCAUCGCACAUCCCUGGAAACCUCGCAAGAGAAGCGUGGAAGCAAGUGCUGAGCUCAUUCUCACGAUGGGGACAUGGGGCUCAAGGCAGGGGACACGAUGGAGAGGAUCCCAGGGCACGAUGGAACAAUUUAGAGAUUCCAAUCAGCCUAAAAGGCAUGUCUCUAGAGUGAGGAGAAAACCAGAGAAGCCAGAGGAAACCUCUGAAGCACAAGGAAAGGAAUCAGGGAAGUGGUAGCUCAGUGGUUAGGGUACUAAGGGCUUCUGACUGGAAGGUCAUGAGUUUGAAUCCCAGGUCCAGAACAACUUUGGAGGCGUAAGGCAUGCCAAAGAUUAAGCCACCAUGUAAAGUAAAAUACAAUGACUACUUCUUGUUCAUUUACGCAAAACAGAACCUUUUACUUGGUAUGUUCCUUUCAACCCAACGCACUUUCCCACUGAAACAGUAACUACAGCAUGAGCUGCUCUUUCUAAACCCCACCUCCUGAACUGCCUGCAGUGUCCCUAUGGUGUCCGCCUGACAAAUAUUUAGUACUAGCAGAAUAAAUUAGUGUGCACAGAUGAUUGGGGAUCUUUUCAACACUGACUGAACAAAACAAAAUAAAAUAAAGGGUCUAGUGACUCUCAAAUACUUUUACACAUAAUCAGAAUACCACAGUUCCUUUAUCCCGUUAAUCCUAUUAAUGCACUUAACUAGCUACCUAGCUUACAUUAUCUCUAUUAUGUAAUUUACAUUACUUUAAUUUACUCUUUAUAAAAAAAAACAAACAAAAAAAAACCACUAUGUAAUAAUGACCAUAGAGCCAUAUUAAUUGUACCUAAGAAAUACAAAAUUUAUUUGUAAUAUUGUGGCUAAAUAUGUCUUUUUUUACAGCCCAGAAACAAGCCCCGCCCCCAUGCUGUCCCUUUUUCUCAAAACAAACUGUAUACGGGUUUUUAAACUCAAACGUGGAUUAGUGUGUGUGAGUGUGUGUGUAUCGUUCUGUUCGUUCUGACAUUUUUAUUUUAUCAUUUUAUCCCCCAUCACUUUUCUUUUCUGCUUGAUAUGUUCACUUUCUUUUUCUAUCUCGCCUUCGCUUUUUGGUGAAGUCUUCUAUUCGCCUUCUAUGAUUUCAAAUUCACAAUGAAGCAGAUUUUUUAUAUUUUUUAACUUUUGUGCUUUUAAAAAAUAAGUCUGUUCAAGAUGCUUGGACAUUAGUACAAACCCUGAGGCACAUGACAAGAGCAAUGAGUACACAAACUUCAUUUUCAUUCCAAACAUGGUUACAUGACUAUACUGACACACACUCACUCUCACGCCAUCAAAAUGACACACACAUAUAUACACACACACACACAUAUAUACACACACAUCCUGUAUAUACAUGAACAAUAGGCAGUGUGGCAUAUUAGUGACAUUGCCAGCACACUUAGGCCCAGUGAGACCAAUUAGCAGCCCUGCCACACACACACACACACACACACACACACACACACACGUGUGUACAUGAAUAAGUCAAUGAGUUCACCUAAUCCCAAGCACAGUAUUGUUCUCAAUGUGUUUGCUGCCAUUCUAUAAAAUGACCUUAAGAAGGUCAAUCGGUUCUUAUCUAAAAAAGCAAGUAAUCUUAGAAGCCCUUUCGUUGCAUAUCAGCAGCAUCGUAGCUGUUCUGAGUGAUGCUGUGUGUGCGUUAGAGCGUUGUUAAUUAUUUUUCCAUGUUAUGUCAUGGAAACCGUAAGCCACGCUCCUAUUAGGAUCUGGGUUGCAGGUCAGCAUGACAAAAGCAGCACCAAUGGACAUUCAAACCUGCUCAAAGCUCGACAAACUCAUGCCAGAUCCAAAACUCACAAUCUUUCAGACUCAGACUUUAUUACACUCAAACUCAAGGGUAUUGUUCUAAUCAACCACUAAAAUUCUGUGUAAGGUUAUUGUUGUGAUUUCAGUGACUGUGACCACGACUUGGUUGAUGGCACCAGAUGAGUUAGGGUGUGUUUUUCAGAAACUACUGAUCUCUUGUAAUUUUCCCUCAAAACAUUGUCUAGAACAGUGUCCAGUCUUCUCUAGAACAGAGUGUACAAGUUGUUAUUCCAACCAAGCAGAAGCCACACAUUUAUAACAUUUAACAGACUCCCUUAUCCAGGGCAACUUACAUUUUUGUCUCAUUUUAUACAAUUGAGAGUUACAAGCCUUGCUCAUUGGCCCAGCAGCUUGGUGGUCCUGGGAUUCAAACUCACAACCUCUAAAGCAGUAGCCCAACACCUUAUCCACUGAGCCUCAUAACAUUUUAAAAGCCAAGAUCAACUGGUUGGACCAGUCCUCUGGGUUCUAUUGAUGAGAAAGCUCAGAGGAGACUGGUUUGAUUUGACAGGAAGCAUAUGGUGAAUAAAAGAACCACUCUUUACAGCUGUAGUGAGCAGACGAGCAUCACACACAAGGAUCAGUGGGCACAGGGAACGUUAGACAUCCUGGAUCAGACACAAGACCUCAAGAUCUCAAGGCAUCACGGAGGAACGGUUUAAAGUUUCCAGGGCUACUGCCAUGUUUUUGGGAAGUACAGAGAACCCAGAUGAAAACUACUAGGACAGGAGGAGAACAUGCAAAACUCCACAUGAGUCUGAAAGACAAAUAACAGGACAUUCUGUACCUCUGCACUCUUAAAGCUUGUUAAGUGAAUCCUGCCCCUCUGCACAAACUGUCUUGAGGCAGUUACAUAACAGCCAUGAUUCAGCAAUCUGUUCACACUGUCAUGGAUCACAGGCAUCCAACUGCACCUUGCUGCUGUUCAGCUCUUUUGUUGAAGGCCAAUGGUAAACGCCCGACAGUCAAUUAUGGAAAAUGUCCCUACGUCAACACAAAUAAAUCAAAACCAUCAAUCAUCUUUCCAAUUUUGAAAUGUGGAGAAUUAUAAAUAUCUGCAAGGUGCACAUGCACAGCCAGGAGCAAAUUUUUGCUUCAGCUUUUUCUUAUUUUUUUUUCUGUUUAAACUCUCUGGAAAGUGCAAGUUUUAAUAUCCAUCUUCAGUGAUUCCUUGUAAUAUCUACGAUUACAGAUAGAAAACAACCAGAAGAACCAAGCAGGAACCUACACAGUGUAUUUUAACACACAUACCGUCUCACAUCACAUCUUUCUAUCAGGAACUGACCAAACAUCAGCGAUUUUUACAUCCUGCACUCUGCUAAUCCCUACAUACUGAACAAAAAUGUUACUUAAAAUUAAAUGCUCAUUUAUUUUUGUAACAACACUCUCACUCACUCAUUUUCUACCGCUUAUCCGAACUACCUCGGGUCAAGGGGAGCCUGUGCCUAUCUCAGGCAUCAUCGGGCAUCAAGGGCAUCCAGGAUACACCCUGGACGGAGUGCCGACCCAUCGCAGGGCACACACACACUCUCAUUCACUCACGCAAUCACACACUACGGACAAUUUUCCAGAGAUGCCAAUCAACCUACCAUGCAUGUCUUUGGACCGGGGGAGGAAACCGGAGUACCCCGAGGAAACCCCCGAGGCACGGGGAGAACAUGGAAACUCCACACACACAAGGCGGGAGGCGGGAAUCGAACCCCCAACCCUGGAGGUGUGAGGCGAACGUGCUAACCACUAAGCCACCGUGCCCCCCCGUGUGUCAACUUAUAUUGUGUAUUCUGUAUAGUAUGUCAAGCAUCACAGUUCUUGCGCAAAGGAACAAAAUCAGCCUGAGGUGACUGAGGCGACUGUGGUGAGGAAAAACUCCCUUAGAUGGAAGAGGAAGAAACCUUGAGAGGAACCAGACUCAAAAGUCAACCUCAUCCUCAUUUGGUUGACACUGAAGGAGCAAGGUGAACUUGAAGAGGAACAGUGGAGAAGGCUUGGAAAUUGAAUUCGCCUGGCAGGAGACAUGAAAUUUCUACUCCGAGGGUGCAAAUAUUUAUUGCAGGAUGCGGGACGCGAAGGACACACGUUUGCUCUCGAUCUCAUUUACUUUCACUUCGCACUUUAUCACACUUUGUUUUGUGUACCGUUCGAAACAAGAUGUGCAGGGUCCCACAACAUACCCCAGUGAUUCUGUAGUAAAAUUCUGCAGAUUCUCUCUUCCUGAUAGGAUACUCAGUGGUAGCAGCAUUAGUGAUGCUAUCCAUGUUAACAGCUCUAACCUUAUAAUUAGCUUAUGCCAUCACCACACAUCUGUAACUACUCAUUAUUCAGUAUUUAUGGACCUCGUCAUUUCUAUUAAUCACCAUUAUCUUUAGACUUGCAAUUUUGAUACAUAAUGCUUUAGAUAGCAGGUUGUGGUGUCAGUACAACAACUUCCUAAUAACUUCAUG